rnacentral:rRNA from 1 species
CCUACGGGAGGCAGCAGUGAGGAAUAUUGGUCAAUGGGCGCGAGCCUGAACCAGCCAAGUCGCGUGAGGGAAGACGGUCCUAUGGAUUGUAAACCUCUUUUGUCGGGGAGCAAAAGACGCCACGCGUGGCGUUCCGAGAGUACCCGAAGAAAAAGCAUCGGCUAACUCCGUGCCAGCAGCCGCGGUAAUACGGAGGAUGCGAGCGUUAUCCGGAUUUAUUGGGUUUAAAGGGUGCGCAGGCGGAAGGUCAAGUCAGCGGUAAAAUUGAGAGGCUCAACCUCUUCGAGCCGUUGAAACUGGUUGUCUUGAGUGAGCGAGAGGUAUGCGGAAUGCGUGGUGUAGCGGUGAAAUGCAUAGAUAUCACGCAGAACUCCGAUUGCGAAGGCAGCAUACCGGCGCUCAACUGACGCUCAUGCACGAAAGUGUGGGUAUCGAACAGGAUUAGAUACCCUAGUAGUC